rnacentral:rRNA from 1 species
GGAGGUAGUGACAAUAAAUCACAAUGCGGGACUGUUAGUCUUGCAAUUGGAUUGAGAACAACGUACAACUCUUAUCGAUAAGCCAUUGGAGGGCAAGUCUGGUGCCAGCAGCCGCGGUAAUUCCAGCUCCAAUAGCGUAUAUUAACGUUGUUGCAGUUAAAAAGCUCGUAGUUGAAGUGAGGGAGUGUGUGGGUAUGAGAGCUAGUCUCAAGUACUCACAACCUCCCCCCUCCAAUGGGUGUAGUGGGGUAUUCACUUAUUUCACUACUCCUUUGGUCGUUUACUGUGAGAAAAUUAGAGUGUUCAAAGCGGGCGUUUGUUUGAAUAGAUUAGCAUGGAAUAAUGAUUGAAGGCUUUCGUGUUCGAUUUGAUUGGUUUGUUCAUGGAAGCAAGGUUAAAAGGAACAGUUGGGGGUAUUCAUAUUCACUAGUUAGAGGUGAAAUUCUCGGAUUUAUGGAAGAUGAACAAGUGCGAAAGCA